AGAGUUUGAUUCUGGCUCAGAACGAACGCUGGCGGCGUGGAUAAGACAUGCAAGUCGAACGAGAGAAUUGCUAGCUUGCUAAUAAUUCUCUAGUGGCGCACGGGUGAGUAACACGUGAGUAACCUGCCCCCGAGAGCGGGAUAGCCCUGGGAAACUGGGAUUAAUACCGCAUAGUAUCGAAAGAUUAAAGCAGCAAUGCGCUUGGGGAUGGGCUCGCGGCCUAUUAGUUAGUUGGUGAGGUAACGGCUCACCAAGGCGAUGACGGGUAGCCGGUCUGAGAGGAUGUCCGGCCACACUGGAACUGAGACACGGUCCAGACACCUACGGGUGGCAGCAGUCGAGAAUCAUUCACAAUGGGGGAAACCCUGAUGGUGCGACGCCGCGUGGGGGAAUGAAGGUCUUCGGAUUGUAAACCCCUGUCAUGUGGGAGCAAAUUAAAAAGAUAGUACCACAAGAGGAAGAGACGGCUAACUCUGUGCCAGCAGCCGCGGUAAUACAGAGGUCUCAAGCGUUGUUCGGAAUCACUGGGCGUAAAGCGUGCGUAGGCUGUUUCGUAAGUCGUGUGUGAAAGGCGCGGGCUCAACCCGCGGACGGCACAUGAUACUGCGAGACUAGAGUAAUGGAGGGGGAACCGGAAUUCUCGGUGUAGCAGUGAAAUGCGUAGAUAUCGAGAGGAACACUCGUGGCGAAGGCGGGUUCCUGGACAUUAACUGACGCUGAGGCACGAAGGCCAGGGGAGCGAAAGGGAUUAGAUACCCCUGUAGUCCUGGCAGUAAACGGUGCACGCUUGGUGUGCGGGGAAUCGACCCCCUGCGUGCCGGAGCUAACGCGUUAAGCGUGCCGCCUGGGGAGUACGGUCGCAAGAUUAAAACUCAAAGAAAUUGACGGGGACCCGCACAAGCGGUGGAGUAUGUGGUUUAAUUCGAUGCAACGCGAAGAACCUUACCUGGGCUUGACAUGUAAUGAACAACAUGUGAAAGCAUGCGACUCUUCGGAGGCGUUACACAGGUGCUGCAUGGCCGUCGUCAGCUCGUGUCGUGAGAUGUUUGGUUAAGUCCAGCAACGAGCGCAACCCCUGUUGCCAGUUACCAGCACGUGAAGGUGGGGACUCUGGCGAGACUGCCCAGAUCAACUGGGAGGAAGGUGGGGACGACGUCAGGUCAGUAUGGCCCUUAUGCCCAGGGCUGCACACGUACUACAAUGCCCAGUACAGAGGGGGCCGAAGCCGCGAGGCGGAGGAAAUCCUGAAAACUGGGCCCAGUUCGGACUGUAGGCUGCAACCCGCCUACACGAAGCCGGAAUCGCUAGUAAUGGCGCAUCAGCUACGGCGCCGUGAAUACGUUCCCGGGUCUUGUACACACCGCCCGUCACAUCAUGGAAGCCGGUCGCACCCGAAGUAUCUGAAGCCAACCGCAAGGAGGCAGGGUCCUAAGGUGAGACUGGUAACUGGGAUGAAGUCGUAACAAGGUAGCCGUAGGGGAACCUGCGG
rnacentral:rRNA from 1 species